CAGUAGCCGCGGUAAUACGUAGGGUGCAAGCGUUAAUCGGAAUUACUGGGCGUAAAGCGUGCGCAGGCGGUUCUAUAAGACAGAUGUGAAAUCCCCGGGCUCAACCUGGGAACUGCAUUUGUGACUGUAGAGCUGGAGUGCGGCAGAGGGGGAUGGAAUUCCGCGUGUAGCAGUGAAAUGCGUAGAUAUGCGGAGGAACACCGAUGGCGAAGGCAAUCCCCUGGGCCUGCACUGAAGCUCAUGCACGAAAGCGUGGGGAGCAAACAGGAUUAGAUACCCCCGUAGUCCCUGUCUCUUAUAC
rnacentral:rRNA from 1 species